UGUUCGUCUGUGCCUCACAUGCAGACGGCCGGAGGUUGCGAGCGGCCCUUGGGGUGAAGCCGCGGCAACGCGGCCGGGCACCUUCGCCAGCCCGAAUCCGACAGGUCAUCCUUCACAGGCGGCUGACGAAGGGUUGC
rnacentral:sRNA from 2 species